CCUACGGGAGGCAGCAGUGAGGAAUAUUGGUCAAUGGGCGCGAGCCUGAACCAGCCAAGUAGCGUGAAGGAUGAAUGCCCUACGGGUUGUAAGCUUCUUUUAUAAAGGAAUAAAGUGAGGCACGUGUGCCUUUUUGUAUGUACUUUAUGAGUAAGGAUCGGCUAACUCCGUGCCAGCAGCCGCGGUAAUAAGGAGGGUCCGAGCGUUAUUCGGAUUUAUUGGGUUUAAAGGGAGCGUAGGUGGGUUGUUAAGUCAGUUGUGAAAGUUUGCGGCUCAACCGUAAAAUUGCAAUUGAUACUGGUAGGCUUGAGUAUAGUAGAGGGAGGUAGAAUUCGAGGUGUAGCGGUGAAAUGCUUAGAGAUCACGAAGAACUCCGAUUGCGAAGGCAGCUUACUAAACUGCGACUGACAUUGAUGUUCGAAAGUGUGGGUAUCAAACAGGAUUAGAUACCCCAGUAGUC
rnacentral:rRNA from 1 species